rnacentral:misc_RNA from 1 species
GCCGAUGAUGAAACAAAACAAGGCUGAAAAAGUGAUGAGCCCUAUGAGUACUGAU